rnacentral:rRNA from 1 species
GACGAACGCUGGCGGCGUGCUUAACACAUGCAAGUCAAGGGGGCCCGCAAGGGUAACCGGCGAACGGGUGCGUAACACGUGAGCAAUCUGCCUAGAUGUGGGGGAUAGCCGGCCCAACGGCCGGGUAAUACCGCAUACGCUCGUCGACUGGCAUCAGUUGACGAGGAAACUUUCGAGGCAUCUAGAGGAGCUCGCGGCCUAUCAGCUAGUUGGUGGGGUAACGGCCUACCAAGGCGGUGACGGGUAGCUGGUCUGAGAGGAUGGCCAGCCACAUUGGGACUGAGAUACGGCCCAGACUCCUACGGGAGGCAGCAGUGGGGGAAUAUUGCGCAAUGGCCGAAAGGCUGACGCAGCGACGCCGCGUGGGGGAUGAAGCAUUUCGGUGUGUAAACCCCUGUUGCUCGGGACGAACAAGCCUUUUCGAGGGCUCUGACGGUACCGAGUGAGGAAGCACCGGCUAACUCCGUGCCAGCAGCCGCGGUAAU